AGAAGAAGAAAGAAUGGCUCACGGCUCUGACUGGAUAAGUUCCCGCAUGAAUGGCUGCUGAUGUGGUUUCUUCAUGUAGACCUCAGUCAUGGGACUCAGGAGCGUCUAUAGCUGCAAGAGCUUUGUAACUGCUUUUGCUGGUGAAGCUGGAAGGAUUCUACUAUUUCUCCUCUCUUCUGCUGUUCUUGUGACACAGUAAAAGGAUGCUGCUUUGACCACAAAGAGAGCCAGAUUUCACUCCCAUCACUGUGAUCUACCCUUCAAGAUUUUUUUUCAUGGCCACCUGUCAGUCUCAUAAGGCAGACAGGUCCUCCUGACAAAAGAAGAUUAGAAAACUGUUCAUUUAUCCACUGAUAACACCUAUUUAAUCGUAUAUGUUUUUAUAUAGGUAUUAAUGGAGAGAGUAGGUGACUAAACAGUCAAUAAUCAUUAUGAUCAAUGGAGAGAUCUCAGUUUUAUCUUGUCAAAGACUAUUUGAGCCUAAUAAGACAUUCAUCUGAUCUGCCAACAUAAGUUCAACUCAGUUGCCCAAACAAAAGCUUUUACUGCCAUCUGGAAUCUCACAGAUUGUCUUGAAAGGCAUUCUGCUGUUUCUUCAUUAACAUGAGUACUUCCCAAAGGUGCCACACAGCAUCUAUCUGCUUUCAACAGAAGUUUUCCUUCUCUGGAGUCUUAAAUGACUGUAAACGCAAGUACUGAACACUACUGUUAUGGGUGUUCAUUUUAAAGUAAGCUGAAUAGUUCUUCAGGCUUCACUAAGCACGGAGAUAGCAACUGUAAUAAGAAGCUAAACUGUCUCAUGUACAGAUACCUACAUGUUGAAAUUU
ensembl:lncRNA